AUAGCGAAGCAUUGAAGGUGCAUUGCAUGCAUUCUGUUGACAAAGUAAUUUGUGUUUAGUGCAGUUAACAUACUUUGAUUGUAGAGAUACCACAUUGUGUUUUAAGUGAUUAUGAAAAGACCACUAGCUAGCUAGCUACAUGGCACUAGAUUACAGCAACUUCGUUAUAUUUUCACUAGACAGACAGACAGACUGCAAAAUACACUUCCAUACAUUGAUUGAACAUUAACAGAUCUUGUUCUUCUCCCCUAUAGCGGUUGAAUAUGGAGGACUUUGUUAAACUAAAGUUAACAGAACGGCAACUUCUGGAGCUGAUUGACACUUUUGCAGAUUGCGCAGGACUUCGAGGUCCUUCAUAAAGAGGCAUCAGACUAAAUGUUUGACCUGGAGGAGGUUCAGCGAGAAGCUUGUUCAUGCGGCCCAGCGGGGGGGAGCUCCAGGUGCAGACCGAGUCUUUGUCUCAAGGCUCCAAAGACUACGUUGCCCUGAUGGUUCUGCCAAGCCUGAUUCCACCUGCAGUCUUCAGGAUGGG